UUUUCUCCUUUACCCAAUUGAUAUAUUUGGAUACUGUUACAAGUUUACAAUAUGGACAAAUUUAGUUGAUUAUCAUUCAACAGAAAAUUUGCAUUGCUUCUGUCAUCCCCAUGUGGUGAAUUACUUAAUAAAUAAAUUUGCAUAACUCGGGAUUUUAGCUUAGGAUUUCUCUUCAUUGUCAAUAACCAUGGAUCACAUCUUCCCUGUGGAAGCAAUAUCCUCCAAGCUUUAACUAUGAUGGUACCAUUUACAAUGGACUGGCUAACAUAUGCUUCGAGGUAAGGUAAUGUGUUAGUUGUUGAACCAGAUAUAUGGCACAUUGUUUUAUUUGUCAGAGCAUAUGCUUUUUAGUACUUGAUCUUAUUUUUAUGGCAGGAGUUUGUGAUGAGAUUGAAAAUUUAGCAUAUGAUGACAAUGGGAGGGAAUUCAAGACUUGAUAAUCCUGUGAUGCAGGUAAAUUUUCCCUUCGUGUUUUCUCAGUUCUAGGAAUGUCAGCAUAUUUUACCAUACAUGGUUCUGCACAAUAUGGUAUUUUCUUAAUUCGUUGUUUUCUGCAUAUUUCUUCUUAGUCAUCUUGUAAAAAGACGAGAGCAUUUCAAUAGAAUAGCUAAUUCCAUUUUGAAUUACUGACUGAUAGAUUCCCCUUAAUUGAACUAGAUGAAUUCUUUCCUGGAACAUUUUAUUUUAUUUUUAUCUUUUAUUAAAUCGUUGUUUGGAUUUUUAUAUAUAAGGUAUUGAUAAGCCAUACAGCUUUUUUCUCAUCUUGACAUCCGAGAUUCUUUAGCCAAUUUUCUCUGUGUGGACAACCUUUUAAUUGUAUCCAAAGAGUCGUUAUUGCUUAGUCAAUGUAUUUGUUGUAAACAAGUUUUUGUCAUUGUAUUAACUCGAAAUCAAUAAGCCAGAGAGAUACACCCAGCCUCCCCAAAAUUCUAACUACAAUAAACCAUUUUGUCAAGUUCACUUGAAAGAAGCAGAACCACAACUACAUCCAACAUUGUCUUUUAACUGGUUCCUCUUUCUUCACAGUUGCAGGAUCUUUUUCUUCAAUGUAAAGCAGCUUUCAACGCUCCAAUGGCAGGCCUAAAGAGCUUCCAAUUUCUUGAUCAUUUCUGGAUUUCAAAUUUUAUUCGGUAUCGACAUGCAUGUUGUUGAAAAAUAGGUCCUCCUUUCUCAGCUGCAGUUCUUCCUCUCCGUCUCUAUUUCUACUUCAAAUUUGCAGGAGAGUUCAGAGUCUAUGAAAUGUUAAUAUUGUAGGUUAUGAAUAUGGGUGAUAGAAGAGUAUGAACGUAUAACUAUUUAGUUAUACAAGCAUAUGAGGCUGAUGAUGAGUUCUUUUGGGCUCCCAAAGAGAAGAAAUUUAUGAUGAGUUCAAUAUAAAUGAAUCAUGAUACGUUUGUACUUUGGAGAUUAGAUUCCUAGAACCCAUUGAAGAAUUAUAUGAACACAGCUCCUUAUAUCCUCCCAUAAUCAGCCUAUUUUAUAUUGGAUCUAGUUAUAACCAUUUCAACUUGGUCAUUAAUCUAGCAAAUUGUUAAAUCCACAACAGAAAAGGUUUUUUUCACAACAAAAGUGUCGUUAUAGAUACUAUAAUAAAAACCGUCGCUAUAUAUCUACAGUGACAUUUUUGUUGGGGAAAUAAUAAAAAGUGUAUGAAUUUAACAAUUCUCUUAAUCUAUUCUUCUGUGGAAAGAAAUAAAUAAUA
rnacentral:lncRNA from 1 species